rnacentral:lncRNA from 1 species
UCUUUUACAAUGACAAGAAAUUUGGACAUCCUUGGGAACGACCUCUGCUCUCUUUCAUUGGGAACACCACAGGCUUCUUUGGUACUGACUGGACUGAUUUCCCUCUGUCUCUGUGGCUGUCUGUGCCAACCCACACAAAGGGUGGCAACUCAACAGCUUAAAAAACUGAAAGGAAUUCAGUAGAGAGAAACAAAAACGAUUAAAGUGUUGGAAAAUAGGACCUAUGAAGAAAGAUUAAAGGAUCUGUGAUUAUUUAGCCUGGAGAAGAGAAGCUGACCUAAUAACCGUCUUCGAGACUGUGAAGGGUUAUUAUAUGGAGGAUGGUGACCAGCUGUUCCUCAUCUCCACUGAGGAUAGAAAAAGAGGAAAUGGGCUUAAGCUUCAAUAGGGAGGAUUUAGAUGAGAUAUAAAGAGCUUCCUCACAGUAAGGGCUGUUAACCACUAGAAUGGGUUACUGAGUGAAGAUGCUCAAUCUCCUUCUCUGGAGACCUUUAUACUUUGAAGAAAUGCCCAUUAUAUCAGGUAUGAUUUAGGUAUGGUCCUUCCUGAAGGCAGGGGAAUUGACUAGAUGACCACUCAAACAGUGCUUCCAAUCCCAUAAUUUUAUGAAAUUGCCUUCAAACCCAGUUAGCUUACAUGAACUCCAGAAAGGUGUGAGCAAAUGGUCUCCAUUCACAAAAAACUAGCAAGUGGAAAAACUUGGAUUCAGACCUGGAUCUUAUGACUCCCGAGUCCUUUUAGCCAUGCUCUCCUGAUACUGACCCUUCUUUGAAUCAUCAUGGGAAGAGUCUACAAGAGAUUCACUGGCCCUUUCUCUGGCUUUCAAGUAAAUAAGGACUUAUUUUCUUCAUUUUGCAUAAGAGGUUUUAAGAACAGUACUCUGAUGGAUUUUCCAUUUUAUGAAAGCAACAACAUUUCAAAGCAAUGCCCAGCUGAAAGGUUCCUGAAAUCCUCCAACCAGUUGAAGAAUGUUAGAAAAAGAAAAAAAAGAAAAGAAAAAGGAAGAAACUAAGAGAAAUUGACCAAUCGGGUCUUGAUCCAGCUUCCCAACAUCAAGAUGCUCUCCUACGUGUCACUUCCUCCAAAGCUUCCCCUCCUCUUGGAAAAGCCCAGCUCACCCAAGAAUUUCACACUACAUAAGCUGUAGCCACUUGUUACAUGUUGCUUUGCUUUCCAUGUCUACUGUAUUACAACACUGUUAAAGUUCUGAAUUAACAGCUGACGUUUUUGACCUGGCUCCCAUUAGCUCACAUUACCACCUGGUAACAGCCUGGCUUCCACAUGCUGUACUUCACAGAUAUCAGCCAUUAUCCCCAUCCCGGAUCAGUCCCCAGGCAGUAUGCUAACAGCCUCUUCUACAAGCCAAUUUACAAGGAUCUGGUCAUGUUUACAUUAGCCUUCUCCCAAUGCAUGAAAAGAGAAGAGCUAGCUUCAGAAUAGAAAUGAGCAAAUAUGAAUAAUUCAAUUUUCCUUGUGGCUAUUAACACAUUUUCCUUGAAUAAAGUGAUAAUAGGUUAUCA